UCCGUGGACCGGAAGUGACGUUGGGUGGGAGAGAAGAAGCCGCGUUGCAAACGCGCGCGGGCCGCUCCGGCUCUGCCUGGCUCGCGCGGGGCCGUUGGAGCCUCUCCCGGGGCCGGAGAAGGGUGUGUGACUGAGAUCAGAGCUCUUAUCGUACUGACCAUGACCUUGUUCUGCCAGGCGCUGCAGAGACCUCAACUGAGAUCUGGGCCCUGUUCUGCCAGGCACUGAAGAGACCCCAGGCUACAGAUUAACGUCCACGUUUCGCUCCAGAUCAUCCCAUCCUCCCUGGGGCAAGGAAAUGGCUGCAAUGGAGCUGGCUCAGGGGCCGGUGACUUUUGAGGAGGUGGCUGUGUAUUUCACCAGGGAGGAAUGGGCUCUGCUGGAUCCUGUUCAGAGAGCCCUCUACAGGGAUGUCAUGCAGGAGAACUAUGAGACGGUGGUCUUGCUGGUAGGGUUUCCAAUUUCCAAACCUG